UUUUUGGGGUUUUUUUUUUUUUUGGCAACCCGAGGUGACUGGGAACACAGGUGGAGCCCACUCACAGGCCCUCAGUGGUUGUAGGCCACGCCUCCCUCUGGCCUCUGAGAUACCACUGCAGUCUGCCCCUGCUGCCUAUAGAUCACGUGAGAGGCACCACAUCACACUUAGCCCCCGCACUGCCCUUAGCCCACACAAGAGGUGCCCAGCCACCCGUAGCCGGCACAAGAAGUACCCAGUCUCCCGUAGUCAAGCAAGUGGCUUCUCGCCACCCAUAGCCUGUUCCAGAGGCAUCCUGCCCUCUGAGAGCCCAUGAGCUUGUGCACAGGGAGAUUCCUAUGGCAGUCCGCCCUUCCUCCUCUCGCCCUCCCCAACAAUGGCACCUUGCUUCUCCAACAGGCUCAGACCUUCUCCUGGAUUCCCUCUGCCAUGGCAUUACACUCCCCAGCCCAUAGCAUACCACUCCUUAGCCUUUCAGGAAUCCCCACACAGCCAGCCCUAGUCCUCCCCUUGAAACUGACCUCUGGAGCCUCAGUCUCAGUGCCCAGCCCCCACCCAAGCAUCUUAGGCUGUAGGUCCAGGGCGGUGGUGCAGUUGAUCUGUGCGGCUCUCACUCAACUUUGCCCUCCUCAGCCCAGCUACUGCACUUUUCUCAGCAACUUUGAGGUCCCUCCAUCUCGGCUGAUCUCCCUGUCAGUUAGGUGGGUUCCGUUUCUCCUUCUCAGCUCCCUCUCAGGAAUGCUAGUCCCAUCUCAAUUCCUUUUCACUCUCUCUUUUUUUUCCACUUUUGUUCUACCCAGUUACAUAAAGAGUUUCUUUCCUUUUUUGGAGGUUUAAGUUCUUCUGCCAGCAUUCAGUAGAUGUUCUGUGUGAGUCAUUUUACAUGUAGACGUGGUUUUUUUAUGUGUUUGUGGGAGAAGAUGAGUGUGACCUCUUACUCCUCUGCCAUCUUGAUCCCCCCGAUCUGUCUCCAUCCUUAUUCCAAAAGGUCUGAGGCUUACAAAAUAUAUUAAAUAGUGCCAUCAUAAAAAAAAUAGAUUGUACACCUAUUUAUCUUUUCCUUUAUAUUCUCUUUUGGUUUAAAUUUAAUAAGAACUGUGCAUUUCUGGAACAUUAUAUUUGCCAACUGAACCAACAAAUAUGAUUGCCUUCUCUUUUGAAAAUGGUAUGACCCUAAUUAGAGGGAAAGAGAAGAAUCAAACAGUGAAAAAGAUGACUCACAGAACUGUACCUCUGGAAGAAAAAAUACAGAUUAGUGAUGACUUAUACUAUUUUCCUAGCUCUCAAUACAAUAUACUUCCCACAAGAUCAAGGUGUUUAGUAAACCAGAACAACUAACUGUACAGAGGAAAUGUGUUUUUAAUAGGUCUCAAAUUUCUGCAAAAUUAUUUGCAAAGAUGCUUAAUUAUUGUUUGUGAAACCAAUAUGCUUCCAGAGUUCUGAACUCUUCCAUUUCUCAAUUUUGUUCAUCUUUUUUCUGUUUACUUUAACAGCCUACUUUACUUCAAUAUGCAUAAAUAUUUCUGAAUCUCAAACUUAAAGAGCAUAUAACAGAUUCCCUGAACCUUUCUUGGAAAGACAUUAAUGAAAAAUAGAAUGUCAGUUUAAUAUAAUUCAUCACUAUUCACCCCAAAUCCUCCCUGAUGGAUUCCCAUGAGUAAGCUGUCAUGCACAUUUACACAUUUUUUGUUUAAUCUGCUCACCUAACCUUUAAAGAACUUAAUUAAGUACUUCUAAAAAUAAUAGCAUAUAGUUCACAGAAAUAGAGUUUUCUAUUAAAAGAUACCAAAACAAAUGGAUAAGAACUUGCAUAGUUGUAAAGAAAGACAAAGUGAGGAUGUCAGCUAAAGGGAGAUAAAAAUGAAAAGAAAAUUACUGUGUCAUCAAAAAGAUAAUGAAGUUUAAAAGAAAUAAAAAAGAUAAGACAUUUUGUAGGAUGUAUAAAACAGUUUGACUAGAGACAAUAAAAAAGAAAGAAACUUUGGUGAAGGAAAUGUCACUAAUUAGAUAUUGUUAAAGCUGAAAAGAACAUUUUAUUUUAUGCUUUUAUAGGCUAACAAACAAAAAAAAAAGGGGCACUUAAGCAAGCAGUAUCUGUUUUUUCCACAGAUCACGGUACAGAUUGUAUGACAUUAUCUCUUUAGGAAUACAACCUAAUCAUGUGGUGCUAUGACACCAUGAGGCAAUGUGAAAAUACAUUUUGGAAAAGACUUUGAACUUGUGUGCCAUAUACAGAAGGAAGCAAAUGCAUUUUUAAAACCCUGGAAAGAAUUAAAAGAAAACUGCUAGGAUAUAUGCCUUUGAAAGUAAUUUACAAAGAAACAAAAUAAAGUUCUAUCCCAAAAACUCCAAUCUAAGAUGAGUCUCAUCAUCCACUAAAGUUAAAAAUACAAACCAUCAUAAACAUAUCACUAUAUAUUUUCAAAAUAAUAUCUUAUACUUCAAACAAGUGUAAUAACAAGUAAUAGUGAGAUACUUUUGUCUUAGACUGACCAAGGCAAAAAUAUUGCCAAUAUCUACAGUAGACAAGUGUGAGGACAACAGGUACUCUAAGGCAGAGUUGGUGAAAGAGCAAAAUAUGAACAUCUUUGUCAAGAACAACAUGAUGACAGGCAUGAAGUGUUAAAUGUAAAUAUUCUUUGAUCAACAACCUUGUUCUUAGGAGUUCAUUCUAAAUAGAGAUUAUAUUAUGGAUAGAGCUAUAUUCAGAGCAGUGUUGUUUAUAAUAGCAAAAAAAAUCUUAAAUGUUUCAUUACUGAAAUUAAACUUCAUUAAUUGGGAUAGUUGGCAUCCUUUAACAAAGUAGAUGCCUUAUUCAUUGACAUAUCCCUGGAGAUAUUUUUAAGAAAAAUAAAACACUCUCUCUCUUUCUCUCUCUCUCUCUCUAUAUAUAUACAUACACACACACACACACACACACAUGUUUACAUAUAUAUAUAUAUGUUUAUAGGCAUGAGUGUGUGAAAUUUUUUUCUUCCUUUUUAUACCUUUUGCUAUUAUUUCAAUUUUCUAUAAUGAGCACACAUUUACCUUUCUAUAGAUAGAAUAAAAAAUAAAAAGAAACCAAAUAUCAUAUUGGACAUAUGGAAUCAAGAAGCAGAGAGGUAAAAUGACUUGCUCCAAGUCUCACAGCUAGUUAACAACAGAACUAGUACUAAAGCUCAGAUUACUGAGCUUAACCAGUAUCCACGGUAUGAAAAAAAAGGCUUGGGUUUAUUCCCUAUUUACAUGCAUUAAUAUGCAGGAUUAUAUUGAACAUAAUACUCUUCCAUUUGAAAAACAGCUAAGAAAAAAGUUAAAAGAGUCAAAUAACCAUAAUAUAAAUCCUAGAGAUCUCUAUGAAUGGAACUUUGUAUUUUUUGGCAUGAUGAUUACAGAGUUCACUUUUUGUGCCUAUUAUAUUAGCAAAACUUCACAUCUAUAUAUGAUAUUAAGUUUUCAAUAAAAAGUAAAACAUAGAACAUUGGGACAUAUAUGUUUUGGG
rnacentral:lncRNA from 1 species